rnacentral:tRNA from 2 species
GCGCCGAUGGUUUAGUGGUAAAAUUCUCCGUUGCCAUUAAGCAGCGUCGGGGAGCCGGGGGUUCGAUUCCCCCUCGGCGCA